rnacentral:rRNA from 1 species
AUACGGAGGAUGCGAGCGUUAUCCGGAUUUAUUGGGUUUAAAGGGAGCGUAGGUGGAUUGUUAAGUCAGUUGUGAAAGUUUGCGGCUCAACCGUAAAAUUGCAGUUGAAACUGGCAGUCUUGAGUACAGUAGAGGAGGGCGGAAUUCGUGGGGUAGCGGUGGAAUGCUUAGAUAUCACGAAGAACUCCGAUUGCGAAGGCAGCUCACUAGACUGUUACUGACACUGAUGCUCGAAAGUGUGGGUAUCAAACAGGAUUAGAUACCCUGGUAGUCCACACAGUAAACGAUGAAUACUCGCUGUUUGCGAUAUACAGUAAGCGGCCAAGCGAAAGCAUUAAGUAUUCCACCUGGGGAGUACGCCGGCAACGGUGAAACUCAAAGGAAUUGACGGGG